rnacentral:lncRNA from 1 species
AGGAUUUUCUGUUGAAUGACACUUCAUAAAAAAGACUUUGAUUACUGAGUUACAAAGACAAUUGUAUCUUCUUGUAAAGCAUACAGUCUUGGUGGUCCUACCCCAUGAACUGCCUGUCCCAGGACAGUUUUACGGUGUCCUGCACAGUUCAAUAUUAAAUGGAGUUUCUACCCUAGCAUGAAAGGAGGAAGAGAGAAAAUCGGCUCCAAGAGAAAUUCAGCUCCCACAUUUCCCAAAUAUUAGAACCAGCUUCUGCAAAGCCCAGCCAGGAGCUCAAGUGUUCUGUUCCCCCAGCUGUCAAUCAGAGUAGGGAGGGCAUGAAGGAGACAUAGGAGAUAGAUUCAUGAAGAAUACUUGUUACUUUUAUAUGUGAUCUGCAACUUUAAGAAUUUUUUUUCCUGAUACUACCAAAAUGAAUGCAUCAAAAGAUAGCCUAAUGAUGAGACUUUUCUGCCACUUUGCUAUUAUUAGACUCCAGGGAGUAAAUGUCUCUUAUUAUUAUAAAAAGGGAAAUUAUGAGCUUUUUCUCCAAGAGCUAUAAGACAAUCUUAUCUUCAUUUUCAUUCUUCCAGGUGGUUAUGUUGAACAUGUAAAUAUUCUCCCUGCUGUGAGUAUUACUGCAGCUGCCCAAAGAUGCUUUAUUUUAAAGAUGUGGAUACAGGAAGAUAAAAGCAUCAGAAACACUGCAUGGGAAAAUCAUUCAGACUGCAGCUUCCUGAUUUUAGACAUCCCCACUGGCAAUUGGGACAUCUAUUUUGGAGAUGUAAUUGAAAAGACUGAAGAAUGUACUGAGGACCUUCUGGCUGAUAGAAGCUGACAAAGAAGCCAAGAUAGUUUGGUGAAGAUUUCUGCAAUACCUGAGUUUCUAAUCACAACAACAAAAAUGGCAUUUAUUUCCUAUUGACCCAAACAGUGGCAACGUUUUAGUCAAGGUGAUUUAGAGGAGGUUAGAAAGAGAGGUGGAUGCUUGGGCCAUAUUAAAGGCAGAAAAUGGGUUAUUCUCCCAUUAUCCUUUACCCUGGAUAGAAAACCUUGGAGAUAGUACUUGAUGGGCAUCACUUAGCUGGUUGCUGGAGAAACACUGAAGCAGAACUUGUAAUAUCUUCAAAACAAGUGAAGGCCAGGAAUCAGAAAUGCUUCUGAAGGUCAGCUGCCUCUCCAGCCAUCUAUGAAGAGCUAGGCUGCCUGUGAUACUUAUCUGACCUGAUUUCUCCUGCACAGUGUUGCAACUGACAAGUAGCAGACUUGCCCUUGCCUGCAUUUGGGGGGAUGGCUGAGACUUUCCUUAUAGAAAGCCCUACUUCCAGCAUGAACACUAACCCAGUUUAUUGGCUCAGGGUGUAGAGAGUUGCCUUGUCACUGGCGAAGUCAGAUGCAGCCAGUACGAGAGCUCUGCACUAGCUGUGAACACUAAGGAAGAAUAGCUGAGUGAGGAAGCAGAGUGCCAGGCAGCACAUCCCUCUUCAGGUGUUUCCUGCCCUGGGCCAGAUCCCAGGCACUGCAGCAAUAUCUCUGCAUGAUCUAGGGCUCCUGGAAAUAGCCCAUUAAGGACAAAACUCACUGCCCAGAAAACAUUAAUACAUUAAAAGAGCAGGGUCUCAUCUGAUUGUCUUGGUUUCCUGAGGCUCAUUCAGUCUGUGUCCACUGGUUUCAGUCUGAGUUCUCUGCAGUUUGAGGAUGCAGACAGUGAAGUUCUCUCUUGGUUAUAGGGGGAGAGAUCAUAGGAAUGCUAUGGAAAGAGGCCUGAAGUCAGAGCCAGCUAGUGGUUAUUUAUUAAUUGCCUGUGAGGUGCCAGGCGCACAUAUUAGACCAUAU